AGACCAUGAUGAGGAUAUUCUACAAGAAGAUCUUUAAAUCGUUCCAUACAUCGAGAGAAUGAUUCAUUAGGUCACUGGCAAAACUGGAGAAUGUCGUUCCUAAGUUU
rnacentral:snoRNA from 1 species